AAAAUUAUUUCAACACUUAAACUAAAUCCAUAUUCAUAAUGCACUUAAUUGAGAAUUAAGAUAUAAAAUUAAGAGAUCUAAAAAUUGAAAAUUUAAGAUCUAAUUUUAUUGCAUAAAAUAUAGAGUUAUGGAUGUGGAUAGCUCAAUUAGGUCUAGUUUGAGCGGUUGAGAAAAUUAAAUUAAAAAUUAAUUAGGAUCGGAUCAAGUGUGCUCAUGAUCAAUCCAAGUAGUUAUAGUUUGG
rnacentral:lncRNA from 1 species